UAUGUGAUCGUCUCUCGCAUAUCAAUAAGCGGAGGAAAAGAAACUAACAAGGAUUCCCUUAGUAACGGCGAGUGAAGCGGGAAGAGCUCAAAUUUGAAAUCUUCAAGGUUUUACCUUGACGAAUUGUAGUUUAAAGAAGUGUUUUCUGUUGAAGUUUUGGUAAAAGUUCUUUGGAAUAGGACAUCAUAGAGGGUGAGAAUCCCGUAUUUGACCAUUAUUUUCAGCUGUGUGAUACACUUUCAAAGAGUCGGAUUGUUUGGGAAUGCAGUCCAAAAUGGGUGGUAAAUUUCAUCUAAAGCUAAAUAUUGGCGAGAGACCGAUAGCGAACAAGUACCGUGAGGGAAAGAUGAAAAGAACUUUGAAAAGAUGAGUUAAACAGUACGUGAAAUUGUCAAAAGGGAAGCGUUUGACACCAGUGUUGUUUUCUCGAAAAUCAAUUAAAAAGAGUUAGAUUUUGUUGUGUAUUGACCUUAACAGCUUGCAUUUCAAUUUUCUUGCUUUUUUUAAUGCACUUUUCGUUUAACAAGUCAACAUCAGUUUCUUUUGUUGUAAAAAGGUCAUUGGAAGGUGGCUUUCUUUUCGGAGAAAGUGUUUAUAGCCUUUGACUCCUGCAAUCGGAGAGACUGAGGUCUGCAGCGUAGAUCCUUCGGGGUUAGAUACAUUUGUGCUAAGUUAUAGCUUUUUAUAGACAACUUGUUGACUAGGAUUAGUCUUGUAGCUUACUCGCUUAUGCUAUUUUACCUACGCUUAGGAUGUUGAAGAUGUAGCACAUCAU
rnacentral:rRNA from 1 species